UGUUGGCAGAUGCUCUGACUUCAUUGCACUACUGUAUCAGACAACUAGUAGUGCAAUAGUAUUGUCAAAGCAUCUGAAAACUGC
rnacentral:pre_miRNA from 12 species